rnacentral:lncRNA from 1 species
CUAGCUGCACCAGUAGCAAGCCGCAGGCCAGCUGCACCAGUAGCAAGCCGCAGGCCACACCCCCGCAGUGUAGGCAGGCAGCACGCUGUCACGAGUUUGGUCUUUCUACCAACGAGCCGUGCGGCACUAGCUACUUUCUCCCCUCAGACAAGUAAGCUAGUCAGCCUUACUCUUCAAAUGCUAGGCAAAAUGCUAGCUAGAAUGGCAAGAAGAACAAAAGAGAG